rnacentral:rRNA from 1 species
AACGAACGCUGGCGGCAGGCCUAACACAUGCAAGUCGAGCGAGCAUUUCGGUGCUAGCGGCGGACGGGUGAGUAACGCGUGGGAACGUGCCCUUUUCUGCGGAAUAGUCCUGGGAAACUGGGGGUAAUACCGCAUACGCCCUUUUGGGGAAAGAUUUAUCGGAGAAGGAUCGGCCCGCGUUGGAUUAGGUAGUUGGUGGGGUAAUGGCCCACCAAGCCGACGAUCCAUAGCUGGUUUGAGAGGAUGAUCAGCCACACUGGGACUGAGACACGGCCCAGACUCCUACGGGAGGCAGCAGUGGGGAAUCUUAGACAAUGGGGGCAACCCUGAUCUCGCCAUGCCGCGUGAGUGAUGAAGGCCUUAGGGUUGUAAAGCUCUUUCAGCUGGGAAGAUAAUGACGGUACCAGCAGAAGAAGCCCCGGCUAACUCCGUG